UCCCGUUUCCAACAGAAAAUUCUAGAUCUUCUGUUUUCAUUCCGAUUUCAGCACAAGUCACUUCUGACUUAUGUUUUACUCCUACAAAUUCAAUAAAAAUAGUUUCUCACACUAUUUUUAUUUAUUUUUAUUUUUAUACUAAAAUCUGGUAUGUUACAGCGCCUCAAUGAGUUCAGGAGAUGCGGUCCCCGGAUUUUCGAUGGCGAGAAGGUCGACCAAUGGAUUGUGGAGAAGUGGUUGAUGCAU
rnacentral:lncRNA from 1 species